rnacentral:rRNA from 1 species
CGUAAGGCGCCGAAUGAGUCAUUAAAAAAUUAACAUCAUCCGAUCCCUAGUCGGCAUAGUUUAUGGUUAAGACUACGACGGUAUCUGAUCGUCUUCGAUCCCCUAACUUUCGUUCUUGAUUAAUGAAGACAUCCUUGGCAAAAUGCUUUCGCAGUAGUUAGUCUUCAAUAAAUCCAAGAAUUUCACCUCUGACAAUUGAAUACUAAUGCCCCCGACUAUCCCUAUUAAUCAUUACGUCAAUCCUAGAAACCAACAAAAUAGGAUCGAACGUCCUAUUCAUUAUUCCAUGCUAUGUAUUCAAGCG